AGCAGCCGCGGUAAUUCCAGCUCCAAUAGCGUAUAUUAAAGUUGUUGCAGUUAAAAAGCUCGUAGUUGAAUUUCGGGGCCAGUAGGUUGGUCGUGCCACUGGUAUGCACUGGCCUCACUGGUCCCUCCUUCUUGUAGAACCGUGAUGGCAUUAAUUUGUUGUUGCGGGGAAACAGGACUGUUACUUUGAAAAAAUUAGAGUGCUUAAAGCAGGCUCGCGCUUGAAUACAUUAGCAUGGAAUAACGAAAUAGGACGAUCGAACCUAUUUUGUUAGUUUCUAGGAUCGACGUAAUGAUUAAUAGGGAUAGUUGGGGGCAUUAGUAUUCAAUUGUCAGAGGUGAAAUUCUUGGAUUUAUUGAAGACUAACUACUGCGAAAGCAUUUGCCAAGGAUGUUUUCAUUAAUCAAGAACGAAAGUUAGGGGAUCGAAGACGAUCAGAUACCGUCGUAGUCUUAACCAUAAACUAUGACCGACUAGGGAUCGGAUGAAGUUAAUUUUUUAAUUGUACUCAUUCGGCCGC
rnacentral:rRNA from 1 species